ACAUUCUUAUCCUCAAAUGUACAAGAUGGCCGCCCAUUCCCCUGACAGAGAAUUAAACAAGUACAGUUUACAACACGGUACAGAAGGAACACAAGACAAACGUUAAGAUGCACUGCAAAAAGUAAGACACUUUCCAGUGGAAGUCUACGAACCCGUUGUAGCUACUGGAUGCUUAAAUAUAGAACGUUCUUAAGGAUUUCCAGGCGUCAGAAGUUGAUUCUCCAAAAUAUAGUGCAUCGAAAUACAACCAGCAUACCGCCUAUCUAACUUAAGUCUUACAAUGGCAGAAUUGAAUGUACUUUUACAAGCAUGAAUCGCAGUAAAAGUUAACCCCUUUGUACUUCAAACGGGAUUAACCACUCUGACAUGCAUUGGACUGACCUUGUUCUCUUAGUUUAUCAGUGUCCCCAUAGCCCACACGACAGUGAACAAUCUUUACGUCAAAGUACAUCUAUUAGAUAUUGUUAUUAUUGUGUCUAAUGAAAUGGUGUUUUCCCGUUCACUGUUCGCUUUGGUAACCCACUCUAGUCCUCCAAUAUUGACUUUAUUGGUUGUCCAAACUACUAGUAUAACUCUUUUUUUUUAAAUCUGCCUCAAACUUCACGCGUUGAAUGUCCAUACGGAAGGAUCUGCAGUACCAUUUAAGGUGGCUCUAUACACCCACAGUUUAUUCCAAUUUUCAAUAGAAGACCACAAAACAGAUACUUAUCAAAUAUUAAAAUGAUGAUAGGGGUACUAUAGGUAUUUUUAAAGAAUUUUCAAAUGUUUUUUCGUGUUUUUGUAAAAUAAUUUUUAAAACGUUAACUAUUAAGAAAUUGAGAGAUAUUUUUUGUCAUAUGAUGGAUAUUUCCUUCGGACACCUAAAAAUAAAUAUAAUACUUCUUAUCAUUCAAAAAUUUUAUUAUUGCAAUUUUUUUCAGUAUAUUCCCAAAACAUAAUUUUUCAUAUUUUCUUACUCUGUUGACAAAUCAUCUGAAAAAGCUGCUUGAUGUUAUAAGAAAAUGUAUUCUAAUAACUGUGACAUAAAAAAUUUGAAUAAAAAUCAUUGCAAAUAAACAC
rnacentral:sRNA from 1 species